CACGCUGUAAACGUUGGGCACUAGGUGUGGGGGCUGUCAAAAGUUUCUGCGCCGUAGCUAACGCAUUAAGUGCCCCGCCUGGGGAGUACGGUCGCAAGGCUAAAACUCAAAGGAAUUGACGGGGGCCCGCACAAGCGGCGGAGCAUGCGGAUUAAUUCGAGGCAACGCGAAGAACCUUACCAAGGCUUGACAUACACCGGAAGCUGCCAGAGAUGGUGGUCUCUUUGAUACUGGUGUACAGGUGG
rnacentral:rRNA from 1 species